rnacentral:tRNA from 1 species
GGUGGAUGUAGCUCAGCUGGUUAGAGCGACGGAUUGUGGUUCCGUAGGUCGUGGGUUCGAGCCCCAUCCUCCACCCCCA